CCCUGUCACUGGAACCUGCUGAACGGUGCGGACGUCUCCUUCAGACCAGAUCUUCCCUCCAAGACUUCUGAGGAGCCCUGGGAUGAAGAGCUGGUUUCUGUCUGGGUGUUUAGGAGCUCCCAGGGGCACAUGGGAAGUUCUGUGUGACGAGUCUUUACAUCAGGACGAGAGGAAACAAUAGAGUAACUCAACCCCCCUCCUCCCACAUUUCUCAUAGAGCCUCCUGUACAGUCAGAGGGGGAGGUUAGAAGACAGGGAGGGGGGAGGCACAGGUCAGUGUUGGUUCCACCACCUCCACCAGACGUGCUGUCAC